rnacentral:rRNA from 1 species
AGUGAACGCUGGCGGUAGGCCUAACACAUGCAAGUCGAACGGCAGCACAGUAAGAGCUUGCUCUUACGGGUAGCGAGUGGCGGACGGGUGAGGAAUACAUCGGAAUCUACUUUUUCGUGGGGGAUAACGUAGGGAAACUUACGCUAAUACCGCAUACGACCUACGGGUGAAAGCAGGGGAUCUUCGGACCUUGCGCGAUUGAAUGAGCCGAUGUCGGAUUAGCUAGUUGGCGGGGUAAAGGCCCACCAAGGCGACGAUCCGUAGCUGGUCUGAGAGGAUGAUCAGCCACACUGGAACUGAGACACGGUCCAGACUCCUACGGGAGGCAGCAGUGGGGAAUAUUGGACAAUGGGCGAAAGCCUGAUCCAGCCAUACCGCGUGAGUGAAGAAGGCCUUCGGAUUGUAAAGCCCUUUUGUUGGGAAAGAAAAGCAGCAGGUUAAUACCCCGCUGUUCUGACGGUACCCAAAGAAUAAGCACCGGCUAACUACGUG